CGCAGCCCUGUCAAAUUCGAUCCCUGCCUCUUCCGUGGUCGGGACCGGCCAACCGGCUGCCACAACAACUUCCGUGCUCCAUGAGCUCCGUGUCCCCUUCCCGUGGGACUCCAGGGAGAUAAAAUCAGGCCACGGACACAU